rnacentral:tRNA from 2 species
GCCCGCUUAGCUCAGGGGUAGAGCGCAUCACUCGUAAUGAUGAGGUCAUUAGUUCGAUUCUGAUAGUGGGCU